AGUGAACGCUGGCGGUAGGCCUAACACAUGCAAGUCGAACGGCAGCACAGUAAGAUUUUGCUCUUACGGUUGGCGGGGGGCGGAUGGGUAACGAAUGCAUAGCAACCUACUUUGUCGGGGGGGAUAACGGAGAGCAACUUACACUACUACCGCAUACGUUCUACGGGUGAAUGCAGGGGAUCUUCGGACUUUGCGUGACUGUAUGAGCCGAUGCCGCAUUAGCUAGUUGGCUAGGUAAAGGCACACCAAGGCAACGAUCCGUAGCUGAUCUGAGAGGAUGAUCGGCCACACUGGAACUGAGACACGGUCCAGACUCCUACGGGAGGCAGCAGUGGGGAAUCUUGCGCAAUGGGCGCAAGCCUGAUGGAGCAACGCCGCGUGAGUGAUGAAGGUCUUCGGAUCGUAAAGCCCUGUUAUUGGGGAAGAAAAAAAGCGGAAUAAAACACGGAUGUCUUGACGGUACCCAAAGAGAAAGCACCGGCUAACUUCGUG
rnacentral:rRNA from 1 species